rnacentral:rRNA from 1 species
CCUACGGGCGGCAGCAGUGGGGAAUAUUGGACAAUGGGCGAAAGCCUGAUCCAGCCAUGUCGCGUGUGUGAAGAAGGCCUUCGGGUUGUAAAGCACUUUCAGUGGGGAAGAAAGCCUUGGGGCUAAUACCCUCGAGGAAGGACAUCACCCACAGAAGAAGCACCGGCUAACUCCGUGCCAGCAGCCGCGGUAAUACGGAGGGUGCGAGCGUUAAUCGGAAUUACUGGGCGUAAAGCGCGCGUAGGCGGUCUGAUAAGCCGGUUGUGAAAGCCCCGGGCUCAACCUGGGAACGGCAUCCGGAACUGUCAGGCUAGAGUGCAGGAGAGGAAGGUAGAAUUCCCGGUGUAGCGGUGAAAUGCGUAGAGAUCGGGAGGAAUACCAGUGGCGAAGGCGGCCUUCUGGACUGACACUGACGCUGAGGUGCGAAAGCGUGGGUAGCAAACAGGAUUAGAUACCCUAGUAGUC